rnacentral:rRNA from 1 species
GACGAACGCUGGCGGCGUGCCUAAUACAUGCAAGUCGAGCGCAGGAAGCCGUCUGAACCCUUCGGGGGGACGACGGUGGAAUGAGCGGCGGACGGGUGAGUAACACGUAAAGAACCUGCCCAUAGGUCUGGGAUAACCACGAGAAAUCGGGGCUAAUACCGGAUGUGUCAUCGGACCGCAUGGUCCGAUGAUGAAAGGCGCUCCGGCGUCGCCCAUGGAUGGCUUUGCGGUGCAUUAGCUAGUUGGUGAGGUAACGGCCCACCAAGGCGACGAUGCAUAGCCGACCUGAGAGGGUGAUCGGCCACACUGGGACUGAGACACGGCCCAGACUCCUACGGGAGGCAGCAGUAGGGAAUCUUCCACAAUGGACGAAAGUCUGAUGGAGCAACGCCGCGUGAACGAUGAAGGCUUUCGGGUCGUAAAGUUCUGUUGUAAGGGAAGAACAAGUGCCGCAGGCAAUGGCGGCACCUUGACGGUACCUUGCGAGAAAGCCACGGCUAACUACGUGCCAGCAGCCGCCGCGG